rnacentral:rRNA from 1 species
CAGUAGCCGCGGUAAUACGUAGGGUGCAAGCGUUAAUCGGAAUUACUGGGCGUAAAGCGUGCGCAGGCGGUUCGCUAAGACAGAUGUGAAAUCCCCGGGCUUAACCUGGGAACUGCAUUUGUGACUGGCGGGCUAGAGUAUGGCAGAGGGGGGUAGAAUUCCACGUGUAGCAGUGAGAUGCGUAGAGAUGUGGAGGAAUACCGAUGGCGAAGUCAGCCCCCUGGGCCAAUACUGACGCUCAUGCACGAAAGCGUGGGGAGCAAACAGGAUUAGAUACCCCCGUAGUCCCUGUCUCUUAUAC